rnacentral:rRNA from 1 species
ACACGUGGACAACCUACCCUUGGGUUCGGCAUAAUCCUGGGAAACUGGGGAUAAUACCGGAUAGGUCACAGAUGCUGGAAUGCACUGUGGCUCAAAGCUCCGGCGCCCAAGGAUGGGUCUGCGGCCUAUCAGGGUUGUAGUGGGUGUAAUGUACCUACUAGCCUACGACGGGUACGGGUUGUGAGAGCAAGAGCCCGGAGAUGGAUUCUGAGACACGAAUCCAGGCCCUACGGGGUGCAGCAGGCGCGAAAACUUUACAAUGCGGGAAACCGUGAUAAGGGAAUCUCGAGUGCCAGCAUAUAAUGUUGGCUGUCCAGAUGCCUAAAAAGCAUCUGUUAGCAAGGGCCGGGCAAGACCGGUGCCAGCCGCCGCGGUAACACCGGCGGCCCGAGUGGUAACCGCUAUUAUUGGGUCUAAAGGGUCUGUAGCCGGCCAGGUAAGUCCCUUGGGAAAUCUGGCAGCUCAACUGUCAGGCUGCUAGGGGAUACUGUUUGGCUUGGGACCGGGAGAGGUGAGAGGUACCUUGGG